rnacentral:rRNA from 1 species
AGCGAACGCUGGCGGCGUGCCUAACACAUGCAAGUCGAACGCGAAAGGGGGGGCAACCCUCCUAGUAGAGUGGCGCACGGGUGAGUAACGCGUGGGUAAUCUGCCCUCGAAUGGGGAAUAACCUCGCGAAAGCGGGGCUAAUACCGCAUAACAUCUUUCUCUCUUCGGAGAGGAAGAUCAAAGGUGACCUCUGCUUGCAAGUUGCCGUUUGAGUAGGAGCCCGCGUCCCAUUAGCCAGUUGGUAGGGUAACGGCCUACCAAGGCUACGAUGGGUAGCCGGCCUGAGAGGGUGACCGGCCACACCGGAACUGAGACACGGUCCAGACUCCUACGGGAGGCAGCAGUGAGGAACAUUGCGCAAUGGGCGAAAGCCUGACGCAGCGACGCCGCGUGGAGGAUGAAGGCCUUCGGGUCGUAAACUCCUGUCGAGGGGGACGAAAUGGGGCUCUGUUAAUAGCAGGGCGUCUUGACGGUACCCCUGGAGGAAGCCCCGGCUAACUCCGUGCCAGCCGCCGCAGUAAUAC